rnacentral:rRNA from 1 species
UACGUAGGUGGCAAGCGUUGUCCGGAUUUACUGGGCGUAAAGAGCGCGCAGGCGGUCGAGUAAGUCGAAUGUGAAAGCCCCCGGCUUAACUGGGGAGGGUCAUUCGAUACUGUUCGACUUGAAGGCAGGAGAGGGCAGCAGAAUUCCCGGUGUAGUGGUGAAAUGCGUAGAUAUCGGGAGGAACACCAGUGGCGAAGGCGACUACCUGGCCUGUUCUUGACGCUGAGGCGCGAAAGCUAGGGGAGCAAACGGG